rnacentral:lncRNA from 1 species
UCCUUGUUACAUAUAUUCCCUUAUAUUUAAAACAAUCACCCACAAUACGUUCUUGUUUCAAAAUAAACAUUCCAUAUUCAUUGAACAUUUCAUAUUCAUUGAACAUUUCAAACUGUAUAUAACUGCCAUUUACACAUAUUCAAAACUAUCAACAUAGUUCUAUAUAGUAUCUAACUUAAGAUAAUGUGUUCCUUCGCAUAUCCUUCAAUCCUUAUCGUCCAGAUAGCAGAUAGUAUUGCUCUGUAUCUUUAACCUGCAAAAAGUUUAUUUUUGCAAGAUUAAGUUCGACAGCUCAACAAAUUUAACAACUUUCAUGCUUCACAUAACACAUAAUGUCAUACUCAAUUCAUAUCUCAUGAUUAGCAUAAUAUUAAACAACAUAAUUCAUAUGUUCAACAUAUCACAUACCAUCUCAAGACUGAGUUCCAAAACUCAAUCAAUUUUAGUCAUAACUUGACUAUCAUAAAUCAACGCACACAUGAGAUUCGAUGUUAUUCAAAAUACUUGUAAACACAAGACAUGUUAACACAGAAAUAGACUGAGAAACUUGCCUUUACUGCGAAACGUUACUGACUCUACUUGUGUUCGCGUACUUGAAGCAAUAUUACCUUGUAUAACACCUUAUUAUUGUUUGCUUAGCUUUGAUUGAAUUUAAUCUUCCCUUUGGCUAUAGAUUGCUUACAUUUCCUUUUCCAUUUAGCUGAUGGUUUCUUGGUUUAAUGAAUUUGAUGUAUACUUCAAAACUUAUAAUUUGACCAAGAAAGAAAUGAACAGGUGAGAAAGAGAGAGAAGAGCUUAGGAAGAAGAAAUUGGCUUUGCUAAACUUGAUAGUAAUCUAAGUAUUUAAAUAAGAAGCUUAGCUAAUGAGC